ACGAGAGCAGUCGCAUCGGUCUGCGCUCCUACUGUGAGCUGUCCUAUCUUGCCCAGACAUGCCAUGAUGACGUCACAGCUGACGUCACAGGAUGUGCGGAACUGGUGCUGCGAUGCUUUGCAACCUGCCUCUGUGCUCCGUCGCCCAGCGACGGUCAGCGGCCGUUCCGGGCCGCUUUCUUCAAGAUGACGUCGUUGAUCUUCAACUAAACUCCUUCUCUCCACUC